GAAUACACCAAAGAACUAGGUUUACACCUCUUUGGAGUGUCCUUUUUUAAAAAAAAAAUCAGAAAGUUUGACCUCAAAUCAGAUAGGAAUACCCGCUGAACUUAAGCAUAUCAAUAAGCGGAGGAAAAGAAACCAACAGGGAUUGCCUCAGUAGCGGCGAGUGAAGCGGCAAAAGCUCAAAUUUGAAAUCUGGUAGCUUUGCUAUCCGAGUUGUAAUUUGUAGAAGACUGUCUUUGUAAGGGUGCCUGUCUAAGUUCCUUGGAACAGGACGUCGCAGAGGGUGAGAAUCCCGUGUGAUGGGUGGCCCGAACUUUUAAGACGUUUUCGAAGAGUCGAGUUGUUUGGGAAUGCAGCUCUAAGUGGGUGGUAAAUUCCAUCUAAAGCUAAAUAUUGGCGAGAGACCGAUAGCGAACAAGUACAGUGAUGGAAAGAUGAAAAGAACUUUGAAAAGAGAGUGAAACAGUACGUGAAAUUGUUGAAAGGGAAGGGUAUUUGAUCCGACAUGGGAUUUACUCAUCAUUGCUCCUUGUGGGUGGUGCUCUGGGUUUUUCCUGGGCCAGAAUCAGUUUGUGUGGCAGGAUAAAGGCUUGGGGAAGUAACUCUUCUGGAGUAAUAUAACCCUUGUUAAUGCUGCCUAUGCGGACUGAGGAAUGCGGUAUUUUACCAAGGAUUCUGGCAUAACGAUUAAAUACCGCCCGUCUUGAAACAUGGACCAAGGAGUCUAACGUCUAUGCGAGUGUUUGGGUGUAAAACCCC
rnacentral:rRNA from 1 species